GGGGAAGCGGUGAGCUGGUAUAUAAGAGAGUGAAGGUAUUGCAAUGCAACAGUCUUUCACAAUGAAGUUCGUGGUGGUCUCAACAUUCCUGGUAGCUUUCCUGGUAGCAUCACAAGCUGCCAAAUUACCACACCCAGACGGUUCAGAAUCCACAGUUAACGGUGAACAAAUGAACGGUAAUGAAGCAGUGAACACCGGCGGACAGGCCAAGGAUGACAUCUCUGUUUACUUUGUAAAUUAUGAUGGUGAAGAGAAUCCUAUACUAUUUGGUGGCAUUGAUCUUCAAACUGCAUUAGAAACUGCAGUCAAAGUUGACGGAAAGGUCAUUGAAGGACGAUAAACACUUACUUUUCUAUUUAUACUACUCUAUACCACAUUUUUUUUUUUUUUUUGGGGGGGGGAAACUGGAGUUAAAAAAAAAAAAAGAUUAUUCCUUUUUUGGAAACCGUUCUCAUGUUAGAGUAGAGAAAAACGGUUUUUGAAUUAUGUGCCUAGAUUCCAUCGAAUAAAUGAUUCCCCUUUUUGCAGGGAAAAUGUAUGGUUUGUUAUGAUUUUUAUAACUGAAAUAAAUUUGUUAUAUAAGAUUUA